rnacentral:rRNA from 1 species
ACAGGCGCUAAUACCGCAUAAGCGCAUACAGCCGCAUGGCAGUAUGCGGAAAGCUCCGGCGGCACGGGAUGGGCCCGCGCCCGAUUAGCCAGUUGGCGGGGUAACGGCCCACCAAAGCGACGAUCGGUAGCCGGCCUGAGAGGGCGGACGGCCACAUUGGGACUGAGACACGGCCCAAACUCCUACGGGAGGCAGCAGUGGGGAAUAUUGCACAAUGGGGGAAACCCUGAUGCAGCAACGCCGCGUGGGUGAAGGAGCGUUUCGGCGCGUAAAGCCCUGUCAGCGGGGAAGAAGAAAGACGGUACCCGACCAAGAAGCCCCGGCUAACUACGUGCCAGCAGCCGCGGUAAUACGUAGGGGGCGAGCGUUAUCCGGAAUUACUGGGUGUAAAGGGAGCGUAGACGGCGAGGUAAGCCUGAAGUGGAAGCCCGCGGCCCAACCGCGGAACUGCUUUGGGAACUGUUUUGCUGGAGUAUGGGAGGGGUAAGCGGAAUUCCUGGUGUAGCGGUGAAAUGCGUAGAUAUCAGGAGGAACACCGGUGGCGAAGGCGGCUUACUGGACCAUAACUGACGUUGAGGCUCGAAAGCGUGGGGA